CCUACGGGAGGCAGCAGUGAGGAAUAUUGGUCAAUGGGCGAGAGCCUGAACCAGCCAAGUCGCGUGAGGGAGUACUGCCCUAUGGGUUGUAAACCUCUUUUGUCGGGGAGCAAAAGCCGGACGUGUCCGGCUGUGAGAGUACCCGAAGAAAAAGCAUCGGCUAACUCCGUGCCAGCAGCCGCGGUAAUACGGAGGAUGCGAGCGUUAUCCGGAUUUAUUGGGUUUAAAGGGUGCGCAGGCGGAUUUUUAAGUCAGCGGUAAAAUCGUGGGGCUCAACCCCAUCCAGCCGGUGAAACUGGGGAUCUAGAGUGUGCGAGAGGUAUGCGGAAUGCGUGGUGUAGCGGUGAAAUGCAUAGAUAUCACGCAGAACCCCGAUUGCGAAGGCAGCAUACCGGUGCACAACUGACGCUCAGGCACGAAAGCGUGGGUAUCGAACAGGAUUAGAUACCCUGGUAGUC
rnacentral:rRNA from 1 species